rnacentral:lncRNA from 1 species
GUUGGCUUGGCUCAGUAGUUUUAAAAAGGGUUCUGUGGUACACAAAGAUUACUUUGCACCUUUCUUUGAUGUAGCUGCUUUGUUUUUUUCUUUAUGAACUUCAGCUUCUAAAACCAUCAUUGGACAAGACAAAACAUCAAUCUCAAGAAUUACGCCAUUAUUCAUUUUAUACAAGUUAAAAACAUCCUAUCUGUACCUUUUUUUGCAGGUUCUGGUUUGGCUUGUUCCUUAGUUUCCUUGGGCUCUACACAAACAAGAACAGUAACAUAUUUGAACGAUGGCUCCGGAGGUGAUGGCUGACGUUUUUUGUGCUCCUAACCAAUUGUGCUAUUUUGUGUGUUUUUUUUAAAGUAAUUUGAGGGUUCUUUUGUACAUAAGGUUUCUGCCACUGUCUUAUAUGACUGAAAAGAGCUUCUGGAUAUCAGAAUAGCCAUGAAGAUUUUUUUAAAUAUUUUUUCUUUAACGACUCGGACACAAAGGAUGUACUUCAGACACUCGACAAGGCCCGAAUCCCUGUCAUUCGCAUGAAGAAGAGAUGGAGAUAUCGGAGACGUAGGUCGGGGUGCGUUGUGAGGAUCUGACAGUGAGUGAGUAAUCCCCCUCUACCAUCAAUCCUAUUAGCCAACAAGCAAUCAAUGUAUGAGCUCCAAUCAAAUCUAUCCUACCAACAGGACAUUAAAAACUGUAAUAUCUUAUGUUUCACCGAGUCGUGGCUGAAAGACGACAUGGAUAACAUACAGCUGGCUGGAUUACCAGUUAAUCGGGGUUAUAUCCUGCCUGUUUGGCCCUGUCCGG